CAGUCGCCGCGGGAAUACGUAUGUCACGAGCGUUAUCCGGAUUUAUUGGGCGUAAAGCGCGUCUAGGUGGUUAUGUAAGUCUGAUGUGAAAAUGCAGGGCUCAACUCUGUAUUGCGUUGGAAACUGUAUAACUAGAGUACUGGAGAGGUAAGCGGAACUACAAGUGUAGAGGUGAAAUUCGUAGAUAUUUGUAGGAAUGCCGAUGGGGAAGCCAGCUUACUGGACAGAUACUGACGCUGAAGCGCGAAAGCGUGGGUAGCAAACAGGAUUAGAUACCCCCGUAGUCCCUGUCUCUUAUACA
rnacentral:rRNA from 1 species